CAAUAGCGUAUAUUAAAGUUGUUGCGGUAAAAAAGCUCGUAGUUGGACUUCUGUUGAGAGAUACCGGUCCAUGCAACGCAUGCGUAUUUGGUAAGUCUCGGCAUCCUCUCGAAAAACUUCUUUGCGCUUGAUUGCGUGAAAAGAGUUUCGGGACUUUUACUUUGAGGAAAUUAGAGUGUUCACGGCAGGCCAUCGCCAGGAUACAUUAGCAUGGAAUAAUACUAUAGGAUCUUGAUCCUAUUUUGUUGGUUUCUAGGGUUAAGAUAAUGAUUAAUAGGGACAAUUGGGGGCAUUCGUAUCAACACGUCAGAGGUGAAAUUCUUGGAUUGUGUUGCGACGAACUACUGCGAAAGCAUUUGCCAAGGAUGUUUUCAUUGA
rnacentral:rRNA from 1 species